GUGGUCUCUGAGUUCGUUUCCUCGGUGUCUAGAGGGCCUGCGUGAGGGCGUGCCCGUGCGCUCGCAUCUCUGUGCCUUUUGCGGGUUUGGCACCGCUUCCUUCCCCUUUGGAAAUUCACCCCCUCCCCUCUUGCCGGCUUUCGUCUCCUCGUGUGUGUUCUGCCAAAUCUGAUGGAAACAGAACAGCGCCCCCACGUGAUUGCAAGUUGGUGGUACUCCAGUAUGCUCCGCUGUGUUGGUGCAAAGGGAUCAGUCUUCCACGUUGAUUCCCCAGUCUGUCUUGUUUUGGCUGGGCUAGAUUCACUGCACAUUGGCAGGUGCAAGAACCUUAGGAUAUUUUGAGAAACCUCAAGAAAAGAAGAAUUCAACCAAAUUUAUAUGUAUUGCAGGCAGAGUCUGAUGGCAAGGCAUUUGCUUGGCCUUCCUGGCUUGUAGAACCCUUUAAAGUUCAAUCUGAGA
rnacentral:lncRNA from 1 species